rnacentral:rRNA from 1 species
AGAGUGAACGCUGGCGGCAGGCCUAACACAUGCAAGUCGAGCGGCAGCGCGGGGGCAACCCUGGCGGCGAGCGGCGGACGGGUGAGGAAUACAUCGGAAUCUACCCUGUCGUGGGGGAUAACGUAGGGAAACUUACGCUAAUACCGCAUACGACCGAGAGGUGAAAGCGGGGGAUCGAAAGACCUCGCGCGAUUGGAUGAGCCGAUGUCGGAUUAGCUAGUUGGUGAGGUAAAGGCUCACCAAGGCGACGAUCCGUAGCUGGUCUGAGAGGAUGAUCAGCCACACUGGGACUGAGACACGGCCCAGACUCCUACGGGAGCAGCAGUGGGAAUAUUGGACAAUGGGCGCAAGCCUGAUCCAGCCAUCGCCGCGUGUGUGAAGAAGGCCGUUGGUUGUAAAGCUACGUUUUGUACCGGAAGAAAGUCGUACGGACUAACGUACCGUCCGGACGG